GAUGAAGAACGUAGUGAAAUGCGAUAAGUAGUGUGAAUUGCAGAAUUCAGUGAAUCAUCGAAUCUUUGAACGCACAUUGCGCCCUUUGGUAUUCCAAAGGGCAUGCCUGUUCGAGCGUCAUUUGUACCCUCAAGCUUUGCUUGGUGUUGGGCGUCUUGUCUCUAGCUUUGCUGGAGACUCGCCUUAAAGUAAUUGGCAGCCGGCCUACUGGUUUCGGAGCGCAGCACAAGUCGCACUCUCUAUCAGCAAAGGUCUAGCAUCCAUUAAGCCUUUUUUUCAACUUUUGACCUCGGAUCAGGUAGGGAUACCCGCUGAACUUAAGCAUAUCAAUAAGCGGAGG
rnacentral:misc_RNA from 1 species